rnacentral:rRNA from 1 species
AUUGAACGCUGGCGGCAGGCCUAACACAUGCAAGUCGAGCGGAUGAAGGGAGCUUGCUCCUGGAUUCAGCGGCGGACGGGUGAGUAAUGCCUAGGAAUCUGCCUGGUAGUGGGGGAUAACGUCCGGAAACGGGCGCUAAUACCGCAUACGUCCUGAGAGAGAAAGUGGGGGAUCUUCGGACCUCACGCUAUCAGAUGAGCCUAGGUCGGAUUAGCUAGUUGGUGGGGUAAGGGCCUACCAAGGCGACGAUCCGUAACUGGUCUGAGAGGAUGAUCAGUCACACUGGAACUGAGACACGGUCCAGACUCCUACGGGAGGCAGCAGUGGGGAAUAUUGGACAAUGGGCGAAAGCCUGAUCCAGCCAUGCCGCGUGUGUGAAGAAGGUCUUCGGAUUGUAAAGCACUUUAAGUUGGGAGGAAGGGCAGUAAGUUAAUACCUUGCUGUUUUGACGUUACCAACAGAAUAAGCACCGGCUAACUUCGUG